GAUUAAAUAUGCUUAAUCUACCGUAAAAUCACGUUGUGCCGGAUCGAAACAGGCGGGGGAGCAUGCUGCUGUCACGAACCUUGCUGUUGAAAGGAGAGCCCGCAGGAAAUCUGCAGUCGCUCGACGAGCUAUUUGCGCUUGCGAAUGCAAUGGAACAGGAAGCCGCCAGCAAGUACGACGAUCUUGCGGCAGACAUGCAACAUCAGAAUAAGCCGGAUCUCGCCGCCGUCUUCGCGCAACUUGCCGCAGCUGAGCUCGAACAUGUCGACAGUGUGGCGCGCUGGUCGCAAUCCCGUCUCGGCAGAGCGCCCGAUCCC
rnacentral:misc_RNA from 1 species